rnacentral:rRNA from 1 species
AGCGAACGCUGGCGGCAGGCCUAACACAUGCAAGUCGAACGAACCUUUCGGGGUUAGUGGCGGACGGGUGAGCAACACGUGGGAACGUGCCUCUAGGUUCGGAAUAACUCAGGGAAACUUGUGCUAAUACCGAAUGUGCCCUUCGGGGGAAAGAUUUAUCGCCUUUAGAGCGGCCCGCGUCUGAUUAGCUAGUUGGUUGAGGUAAUGGCUCACCAAGGCGACGAUCAGUAGCUGGUCUGAGAGGAUGAUCAGCCACAUUGGGACUGAGACACGGCCCAAACUCCUACGGGAGGCAGCAGUGGGGAAUCUUGCGCAAUGGGCGAAGGCCUGACGCAGCCAUGCCGCGUGAAUGAUGAAGGUCUUAGGAUUGUAAAAUUCUUUCACCGGGGACGAUAAUGACGGUACCCGGAGAAGAAGCCCCGGCUAACUUCGUG